AGGUCAUUUAUACUUGAGCCAACAUCUGCAGUGUUUAUUAUGAAUGCGGUCUCUGCCAAUGGUAGCGAAAUUGCUUUGAAAACGAUGCUGUCUAGUGCUCUGCUCUAUAACACGCCUCGGAUUAAAUCCCGGCCAUACUAUUACAUAUCUGCACACAAACAAAAAUAUGUCAAAGAUUUUAAUGGUGUCUGUGUCUAUGUUUGUGUCACAUGAAUGACCUCUACCAGGCCAGAGUGGGAUGAGCAUGCUGACGAACUGAUCUCGCUGCUACACUCUCAAACCUCUCUGGAGGGAAUAGAUCUGUUGGUGAGCAGCUUGACAGAGAGGUGUGCUGCCAGUGUAGUCAGUCUGAGCCAGGCCUGUUUCAACCUGAAGGACAUAAUCCUUCAAGUAAACGGUUUCUUAUGGAGGAAGGAAUACAAUGCUUACGUGAAUCGAAGAGGCGCCCAGAUUGCCAGUUACUUCUCUUGGGGAGGAGAUGCAGGAAGCUUGCUGACCAGUGCUCUGAGGAGAAGGACAAGAGGCUCAGUUGUAAUGACAACGUUUUACCGCUCUACAUGGAGAAUCAUUCAUAG